AAGAGGUGUGAUGAUUUCAUCCACCUAUACUGUUAGUGUUCAACGAUGAAUCAGAACAGGAACUACCAUCUGAUCUCUA